rnacentral:rRNA from 1 species
CCUACGGGGUGCAGCAGUGAGGAAUAUUGGUCAAUGGACGAGAGUCUGAACCAGCCAAGUAGCGUGAAGGAUGACCGCCCUAUGGGUUGUAAACUUCUUUUAUAUGGGAAUAAAAUGUUCCACGUGUGGGAUUUUGUAUGUACCAUAUGAAUAAGGAUCGGCUAACUCCGUGCCAGCAGCCGCGGUAAUACGGAGGAUCCGAGCGUUAUCCGGAUUUAUUGGGUUUAAAGGGAGCGUAGGUGGAUUGUUAAGUCAGUUGUGAAAGUUUGCGGCUCAACCGUAAAAUUGCAGUUGAAACUGGCAGUCUUGAGUACAGUAGAGGUGGGCGGAAUUCGUGGUGUAGCGGUGAAAUGCUUAGAUAUCACGAAGAACUCCGAUUGCGAAGGCAGUUCACUGGACUGCAACUGACACUGAGGCUCGAAAGUGUGGGUAUCAAACAGGAUUAGAUACCCCAGUAGUC